UACGUAGGGUGCAAGCGUUGUCCGGAAUUAUUGGGCGUAAAGAGCUCGUAGGCGGUUUGUCGCGUCUGCUGUGAAAUCCCCGGGCUCAACCUGGGAAUGGCGAUGGAUACUGGGCAGCUAGAGUGUGUCAGAGGAUGGUGGAAUUCCCGGUGUAGCGGUGGAAUGCGUAGAGAUCGGGAAGAACAUCAGUGGCGAAGGCGGCCUGCUGGGCUGUUGCUGACGCUGAGGCGCGACAGCGUGGGGAGCAAACAGG
rnacentral:rRNA from 1 species